GGCAGCUGGGAAAAGUCAAUGCUAUGCUGAGACUCCAUCUGCACAUGAAAUCACAACUUCACUGUGACUCAGGCAGUAAUUCUUUUUGAGAAGCUCCAUGUUUUCAUAGGGAUAUUGUCAGUAACUGCUGAAAAAAUUGGAUUUGCGAGAAUCAAGGCAUCAGUGACUGUUAUCAUGAAAAGACAAACAAGCAGGUAUUAUAUCCCUCCUAAUGGAACUGUCACCUGGAAAAAACUCUUGCCAAAAAGAUAGAAGCUGAAUUUCAUCAAGAUUCAGUACCUAAUUACCAAUGUACAGACUUGGAGCCAACAACUGUUUUUCUACCUGGGUCUCGUACAUUUUUCUAGGCUUCUAGAAGCUCUUAGCUCAGGGAUCUCAUUGCAUUGAGAUAGAGGGAGCCCAGAGGAUGGACAUUUAACUCAGACUAACUACCAGGAAAAGAUUCAUGGAGGAAUCAGCAUUGGAAUCGAGUUCUAUGAGAUAUAUACUGAGCAACAUGAGGAGUGUACAUGAGUGCUACAUGAGGCCAAGGCUCCUGCUGCUUCUGGGAUUUGCUCCUGUGUGCUCUGGGACAGGGCCUCUAUCAGGAAUUCCCACUUGUUCGAGGGCCAGCUCUCGAAAUCUAGUCUAGACACCCUAACGAGGUGGAGGAUGUAAUUACACCUUGAAACACUCUGUGUACCAGUAACCCAGCUCCUCACGUGUGUGACUCAAGCUCCAAGAGCCUUACGAGGAUUUUUCAAGAUGGAUAGCCCUAGCCCCACUUCGGAGAUGGGAAAACCAAGGCCAGGAAGCCUAGGUUAGGACCACAAAGAAAUAAAAUGGUGGAGCUGGAAUUUGAAAUCUGACACUUGUGACUCCAAAGCCUGCUCUCUCUCUUUCUCUCUCUGGAGCCCAGGAAUGAAACGACACGAGUGUGACUUCAGGCCAACAGACACGGACCAAGUGCUGUUUAGGUAUGUUUUCGUGCAGCGAAGCAAGCCCUUGGAGACCAGCUCAGCCAAAACACACAGUCUGGGGUCAAGGCUUGUCCUCCCCUGGGCAAGAAAUGGAGUUCUUGCCAUCUCCACACUGUUUGCUCAAGUGGUUUUUUCCCCAGAGAUGACUGCUUGCUUGUUUUCAAUUUCCACUGUGACACAAUAAAGAAAGCUCUAAAUGAAUGUUAGAAAAUGUUUUCAGGAAGCAGAACACAGUCAGUGCAACGUGGUGAUCUUGGUGGUAGUGAGUGACCUCACAGGAAGCCAUUCUUUCUUUCUUUCUUUUUUUUUUAAAGAGAGAGAGGGAGUGUGCGCAAGUACUGUGAGUGAGGGGGGCAGGGAGAGGGAGGGAAUCCCAAGCAGACUCCCGCUGAGGGCAGAGCUUGAAGCACCUCGAUCCCCAGCCCUGAGAUCAUGACCUGAACCGAAAUUGAGAGUCGGACCUUUAACUGACUGAGCCACCCUGGCACCCUUCACAGGAACACAUUCUUAUUGGAAAUUUCUUCAGUUCCAACUCUUCCAGCUUCUGGAUGACUCCUCCAAGAACGGCACCUCAGCGGCCCUCCUGAUGAAGUCCUGCCGGAUACCUUUCCUCUGAUUGGGAGGAACCCCAUCUUGGCUCCUGCCUGCAGGCAGUUGGGGCAGUACAACCCAAGGGACUAGUGGGAUUUGUGCCCAAGCCAGAGCCAUCUGCCCCCAGCGUGCAGGUGUGCGACUUCUGAAUGACCCACUGCCCUGAAACAGACAGCCCUUGGGCCUCUGCACCCUCCCCUCCGUCUUCCCGAGAAGCCAGCUCCCUCAGGCCUGGACUACUUCCUAGAGUCUCUCUGCUUACUUGGUUUGGUGGGGAAGAGCCGGGGGCAGCCUGCAAGUUCUCCUGGGGAGAAGGAACGCUAGGCCACACAGCCCUUCCGCCGCAGGCAACCGCACGUGGAAUUUUCCCCGACGUCUGUGCUGUUCUCAAGUUUCCCGACCUGCUCACCCGUGCUUGGAGUUGGUUUUCCAGCUCAGAGAAAAUACUCAGAGCUGCUGGGCCACCAGUUUAGCCUUGAGGCUGUGACUAAAUAAAUAAGAAGGACAGCACCCCACCCCCCGCAACUGGAUCAGUUUAUUUUCAAAGAAAGGGCUUUCCGCACAUGUCCCCAUGGAGCCAACAGGAAGGACUGUGGGCAGUAGACUGCCGUAGCCACACACGGGCAGCUGCAGGACCCUCUCCCUGACCUGUUUAAGUCAUGCCGUGAUUGAUGAUGGCAAUGGAAAAAUAGCAACUGCAGAUGGACAGGCAGCAGGAUAAGCAAAAAACAAUAGUGCUGCUGCUGGCACCUGUCCCUGGCUGAGGUGGACGAGGCACUCUAAGUCGUCUGGUGAUGAAAAACGUGGGUUUGGGAGGCAGACAGUUUGAGUUCCAAUCCCACCCGUAUCCCUGCCAGGCUGGUUGUGUCUGAAUGUGAGACCUGGAACUUCAGUAGCCCUUUUGCCAGCUUUACCAGAGGAUGAAGCACACACUUGAAGUAAGAUAGAGCCAAGAUAGCUACACAGAGAUGUUACUUCAUCUACCCAUCCCAAGCAGCAUGAGACUUUUGGCCCAAAGACAGUGAGCAAAGGAACAUCUGGGCUUCUUUAAAGAUGUGUCAGCUCAUCCCUGCCCCACAUGAUCCAAACUGAUGAAAUUCAACUCUCAACAGUACAACUUAUAUGAAAAGAUGUUCUACAUCUGCAACCUAGAUUUCUUAUCACCAACAGCUACACUCUCAAAUCUCAGCCUACUGCAAGCCGCUCUCAUCAGUCCAAAUGACCUGUUAAAAUUGAGCCCUGUUGAAGCAUCAUAGACUUGUACCUAUCUGAUAAACCACUGUGUUUCUUUGAAGAAGAGAAAAAAAAAGAAAAAGAAAAAAGUGAUCUUGAACUUGGACAGGUGAAAUACCUGACUUGAAAGCAGAGGAAAUAGGAACCCCACUACACUGAACUACAUCAUGGAGAAUCUGUGGUUAAGUAAUUUCCCAGACAAUAAUUUUAAUUUACCAAAAAUGUACUAUUAAAAUAGUAGCCAGAUCUCAAGUCUGUUGCUUGUUAGUUGACCUCACCAUCCGACCACUGGAAGAACAGGACAGGAUGUUUUCCGGACAUUCCACCAUGAAGGCUUAGAAAGAAUUACUAUUCUUUUAUAUAUCAACCUUUAAAUCAUAAAACUCAACUCAUUUCCAUUUGGUAAGGUAAAGGUUGACCAGGCUGUAUUUGAGUGUUUGUGUGUCUGAACUUUAGAAUUAUUUGAAUAUAUGCAUACUCUACUCAUUACAUCUGCUACCUAAAGGCCUUCAACUUAGAAACUGUUGUUUUUUAUUUUUUAAAUCUUGAUUUAGUAAGUGGCUGAGCUUCUUAAUAAUUCACGAAUAUACUCUUGUGGACAAUAAAUUCUACAAAGCCAUUAGAAAAAACUCUCCAUUCUCGUGAGUACAUUUAACAUUCUGCCUGCUACCUUGUUUAAAGUAUCAAAUUUUGUGUAAAUACUUCCUUCAUAAAUUAUAAAAAAGAAAACUUUUUAUAAAAAGCCUCAUUCUGGUAGAAUUACCACCUUCAGCUUGAAGCUCCUAUAUCAAAGUAUUUGUUGACUAGUAUAAUGAAGCAUACUGAGUCUAGAUUUUAAGAUUUCUAAAUCUUUGAACCAGGACAUAUAUUCAUUAUGGGAAAUCCUAUGUUUUAUAAUAAAAUCAAUUCAAAAUACCUGUUAUGUCUCUUCUUGAGCUACAUGUGGGGAAUAAAACAACUGAAAACGCACACCAAUGUCAGUCUUACUCGACCAGUAUUCUUGAGAAGCAUUUUCAUUAAGUCUUUGGACUUAACAGAGGGCCAAGGUAUAAUAUGCAGUCCCUUUCUUUGGUCUGGAUUGUGGCUUAUUCGGUGAAUGUUUCCAAUCCAGCCAGAGCCCUCCCUUUCCCACCACCAAGUCUGCUUUUGAGACAGUAUCCUUUCUGUCCCCUCUGUAGGCUUUCUGGAUCAGCUUAGGGACUGUAAAGUAACUUGACUACUAGACUAAGCCAAACAUAAUUGGGAAAGGAAAGCUGCCAAGAAGUAAUCAGAUCCACUGCAUUCCAAAAUCAAGCCUACUCCAAAUGUCUGAUGGACGACCCCCUUCGCAGCCCACAUGGCUGUGAGACACAUGUGCCUGGAUUUCCAAUUAGAUGCUCCCCCCACCCCCAAUCCACAGACCUGAAGUUCUUCCAACAAGGCAAAGUUGAGCUCAGUCCUACCUGUUCUCAGAUGUGCAUCAGACACCAAACCGUGCAAAACUUACCAAG